CACACCCUCAUGCGGCCGGAGAGCUCCACGUCGCUUCGAUGCCAAAGCUUUUACGAAUAAUAACUGGCAGUUCUAAAGCGAUGUCCAGUUUCCUCCGCAUGCUGCGCGCUCUCCACACCCAGAGAGGCAGAUGAGCUGUGUUUUCCGUUGCGGGUGCAGUGACUGACACUCCGCUCCCGCCUGGAACUGGGCGCUGUCCAGGAUGCAAUCCCCUCUCCAGGAAACCCCAAGCUCGUUACAGGCCUGAAGGUCAAGGAAAGCUCCAGGCAGGGGAUUCUUCGAGGUUCCUGUAGGACCACACCACCUUCUGUUAUGGCACUUUGUAGGCGUCUCAUCGAGUCUGAGGUUGCUUCCCAAGGGGUUGGCUGGUAGACCAUGAAGUUGAUUCCUGCUUCUAAGCACCGCUGUGCCAGCACUCGUCCUGUACUCUCACAAGCCACCACAUUUCUGGUACUAUAAAGGUGCUUUUUAAUAGCCCACUCACGAGUGGAUCCUGACACCACACCCCGGCCAUUCCAAUGCCCAACAAGCGCCUCUACAUGAUGCUUAGUCCUUGUAACUCGCAACCUGUGCCAGAAUUCUCCGGAGGGCCACACUGUCCCCCAACCCCGCUGUUUCCUGGCCACACCUAAGAGCUCCAGAUUACGAGGGUUUCGGUCGGUGAACUCUGGGGCAACAGCUUCAUUUUCCACAGACUGCGUUUCGGGCUUCGCGGCUGGCGUGGAACUGGUUGAGAGAGGUGCAAACCGACACGCUAAUAAAUGGAAAUGACGACAAGGACUGGCCUCCUGCAAAUCGGCAAAUUCCAGAACCGUGACAAAAACGCCAUCGCUGAGAGGAUGUGCGAAAGCUCAGAACGUCUGCCUCCUUUUCCUGACGGUAACCUAAGCAGUUAACCGCCCGCAACCAUAUUAAAUCUGAAGGGCAAUGCUUCUUUUUUGUGUGUCUUCUGAGGCCUGCUCAAAAGUCCAGGAGUACUGAUAGUUUUCUCUGGUUGUUGCAUUUCACAACCAGGCAGUUGGGUAAUUAGGGCUUUUCUUUUCAGAGGUUCUUUUAAGAAGGGAAAAUGGCACACUAUAUUGGUUUUAUUACUACCACAAUCUUUAUCCAGGGUGCCUGUCAACUUUCCCCCAGAACCUUCCCUCUCAAGGGUGUCUCUGCCCCCAGCCUUUAUCUGCCCUACACAGGUUGCACCUGUUGGCCCAGAACAUCCUCCCUCUAACUGUUCUCAACAAGUUGCUAUAAGGACAGUGCUCUCCCAGGGCAUACUGGGUAAAGUGCAGUCUCCUCCAGCCCUGCUCCUAGAAUUUCUCAUUACCAGUAGAUACUGGUUUUUCCAGUGUGUCUUGGGGAAAGGAUGUUAAUGAGCACUAAAUGAUUUUUAUUUAUUCAGCUUCAUGGACUAACCUUAAAAAAUGCUG
ensembl:lncRNA